UUGGAAAUAGUGUUGCAUCACUGCAUCAACCAUGUAGCAAAUCUCAGUGGGAGAUAUUAUAGCAGAAAGGAUGCAGAUUGAAAAGCCUCUAUGAAUCACCACAGAGAGCGCACACAAUCCCUUAGGCUUAUUAAUUACUUUAAGAAUCAACUUGUCUGGGGAAUCCAGAGGCCCCAUGCCAGGAUGCAGUACUCCAGAUGGAGCUUCGUGAGGGCAGAACAGAAGGGAACAAUCACCUCCUUUUCCUACUGGCCACAAUACAGAAUACCUGAUGCUUCCUGUGACGAGAAUGCCUGUAAGCACAGCCGUGGCUGCUCAAGGACGGGCUGUGUGGGGUGCCAGACACGAAGACAGUGACCUCUGUCCCUCCUGUGCUCGCUGCUCACCCUCCUGCAGGGCAGAGCACAGACAGAGGCUUCCAGCCAGUUUCCUGCUCUCUGCAAAGUGCCUUCUUCGCUGUUCAUGCUGAUUCACAUCAGAGAUGACAAACAGCUAUUGCCAUCAAUUACUCCAUUAGUUCGAAUGGUUGAAAGCUAUCUGGGAUACGUAAGGGAUCCAACCUGGCAUCUAUAGAUGUGACACCAUGUGAUAGAAAAGCUUGUAUGACGGUGGAGUUUUCCUUCAUGUUGCAGAACAGAAUACUUUCCCCAUAUGCCAUCCCUUCAUUUGCGCAUCUCAAAUUAAUCUCUUGGCCAGUUUCACAAGUUGAAUCUAGUCCGUUUAUUUAGUCAGAUAAAUGUCUGAUCUGAAAUCUCAUUAGCCCAACAAUUACCUUUGACACCACAGAAGAACAAAGUCUCUUUGCCAUGUAAAUUACGAAAUCACAGCAAGUCUUUUCAGUUCUGAGAGAGCACAGUUUCGAAAAGCAUUCAAAAUGCAGAACAUCAGUUAAAGUCAUUAAUAUUUCUGUGAUGGGUGCAGUUCAGGUUGGACAGCCUGGAAACCAUCAGCCAUAGGAUUUUAUUAUAUUUCCUCAUGAUAAAGCUCUCCCUGUGCAUCAUACAGGGACGGAGAGUGUCCAUUUACAGCAUUAAUCAUUUCAUUUGAUCAUUCUUUCAGCUCUCACUGUAUGGCCUUUCUUUGGAAAACUGUAAAGUGAAUGACAAGAACAAGGACUGAUCAGAGGAAUGGGAAUAAGAAGGCUACUCCAUUCUUGCAGCACUCCCAUCUGAAUACCUUUAAUUAUCAGUCCCCUUAUUGACCAGUAUUAAGUGCUAUUCGUGCAAAACACAAAUUACAGUGCCAGAAAUUUAGAUUUGGGACCUGAUUCCCUCUUCCCCUUCUCCUGUAGUAUCUCAGAUGCAGUGAAAGCCUCUCUGUUGAGUGAGUUUGCUCAAAUCUCAGCAUUUCAAAGGAGCUGAAGUCCCAUUCCUAGUUCGCAGUGUUUGGGUGGCUCUGACACUUUGCUGUUUGGAAAAUUUCACCAGAAUCUUUUCAAAGUGACAGGCACUGGUAUCUUCAGUAUUUGGUUUCCCAGUCCUUCAGGUCCUUUUACAAGUAUUAUCUGAAAGGAGUAUUGCUUGGAAAGGGGAGUUUUUUAAUGGGCUGUGUUUGUUCAGAGAACCUGUAUAAGCUGGUAACAUGAAAGUGCGUGUGCACAAAAGAAAAAGAGCUUCGUAUGAAGUUUUCCAUUCAUGUAUCUGCGUUCUGACAUUCUUUCAUAAUAAAUGGAGCUACAUAGUUUUUCCCACACAGCAGAAAAAUAAUUGGAUUUCCAACAGACGUGCCAGAGCCUUGUUUACCCAGAUGUAUUUCCCUUAUGUUACUGCAGCUCCUCUAAUUCUGUGGGGCUGUUCUGGCCAUCCAGGUCACCAGCAGCCUCAUUAAUGUAUACAGGUGAGGUAUGUCCAGAGCGAAUAGUAUGACUGAUAAAGAGAGCACAUGGUGAUUAACUGUGGCACGGAUUGCAAUAUGAGUAGAUUAUUUUUUAAUAUUUAAAUUACAUUUAAACCACUCCAGUAAAGAUGAGCAGAGAACAGAAGUAGAAAGAAGCAAAAUAAUGAUGUGAUUAAUAUUCACACACAAAAAAAGAAUUAAUUCUUCCCAUCUGUCAGGGAUCAUUUUGUGUUCCAUACCUAUCUGUCCAUUAAUCAGAAGCAGACUGACAAUUGGAAAAAAAAAAAUAGCCAUUUCUUCAGAGAGCUGCACUUCUUUUCAUGUUUUAGCUUGUUGUCUGCUAUCUCAAUUUUACAAAUGUGAUUAUUGUCCAUAACUCUCCCAAUUCCUUUUUGCAAUUAUACUUUUGACCUAUAGCUGCUUUGGCCAGAAAGCAUUUGUGCAGGAUUGGCCUGUUAAGUACUGUAGGUCUUGACUGCUAAGUGCACCCUUAAUUCCUGCUGAAAGCAGCAGGAUUUACAACAGUGAGCUUUAAGGAUGGUUCUGCUGCUAGAACUGGACAACUUGCCUAAUCUCUACAAACUGUAUAGCUUUUGCUAGAGUAAUUUCUUUGAUCACUACACAAAUCUUUUUGAUUAAACAAAUGUGUUCUGAGCCCAGAAGUCUUUUAUUGCAAACAUUUAUACUGCUGUCCCUCUGACCUGAGCAGUUAGCAUUUGAGGCCUGGCCAGGUUGUUUCCAUUAGGAGGAGAAACUGAUGACAGGAAUCAGACUGGCUUCUUUGGUACUGCCCUGCUUAUUUACAGUGAAUACCCACAAAGUUACUCUUCCCUACAUUUGUCAGAAGCCACUAGAGGCAGCUUUUGAACAGUCUAAAACACAGUACCUCAAGUAUCUUUAAUUCGGCCCCUCUUGGAGUCACCCACACAACCCACAUGAGAGCAUUUCUUCUGUUCUCUGUUGGCUUUCGCUUCCACUUUGACCUCUGUCACCAAGACCUGUGGCCUUGCAAACCCUGCUCCUGGCACAGCCAAAUUCAGCCCACACAAAGCAGCCAAGCUGAGGUUCCUUCUCACUUGGCCACCAGAUACUGCUUCCACCAGACCCCUUCUUCCAUAAAGGAACAUAAUUUCCUUCCCUGCAGGUGAAAGAAUGGUAUUUAAUGAAUCCUGUGAUAAACGACAGCUGCCAAUACCUUUUAAGGACAUAAUAUAAAUUCACUAUUGCUCACACAAAGUUACUGCAUGUAUAAAAAGUGGUGCCAAAUGAAAACAAAAGCUGUGAAUCAAGACCGAUGUUUUUGGUUUUGUUAGAAUUUACAGGUAAAGCAGAUUGCAAUUAUUUUUAGGUUUCAAAUGCCAUUUCUUCAAUGUCAAAAAGUUGUGGUUUUGUUUUUGUUUUAAUUUUGAUUUAGAAAUGAACUUUCCUUUGCUAAGAACCAAUAGGAUUGUUUUAUUUUGGGUUGGGUCAACCCUGGUAGGGGUACUCCAUUCUGUUAAGAUGAAUCUUAAAUUUGCUUUUUAGAAAAUUGUUAUCCUGCAUUCCUGCUCUAUGCAUUGGGGCACGAGAUGGCAGUUUGAGAUAUUAUCAUCUCUGAUGAUCUAGAGGUCUCCAAAGGGCAGCUUCUUUCCUUCACAAGACAAAAAGGAUUUCCUUGUGAGUAUACUGUAUGUUUCACGGUAAAAAUCAUCAGACUCUGGUGCAUCAUAAAAGAUGAUAAAGCAGUCUAAUUUGUGAAAGAGAAUGUGGGCAUCGCUCUCCUGAGAUACAAUGCUUGUGUGGUGAGACAUUAUAAUGGGUAACAUUGUGCGGGUGUAUGAAAGUAAUUCCAAACAAAGCGUGUGAGAUCGUAUCAGUAAUCAAAGUGAGGCUGUUCAGUGGAACUUCAGUCAAAAUAUUUUGUUCCAAAUGAGAAUGCCAAGAGAAAAUUUUCAUAUUGCUGGAAAUCUUUGUAAAUUUUUUCUUACUUUAAAUUUUUUGACAGCAUUCAGAACAUACAUACAAAAAAAUAAAAACUGUCGUGUC
rnacentral:lncRNA from 1 species